rnacentral:misc_RNA from 1 species
AACUUUCGACAACGGAUCUCUUGGUUCCGGCAUCGAUGAAGAACGCAGCGAAAUGCGAUAAGUAAUGUGUAUUGCAGAAUUCAGUGAAUCAUCGAAUCUUUGAACGCACAUUGCGCCCCCUGGCAUUCCGGGGGGCAUGCCUGUUCGAGCGUCAUAUCAACGUUCAAGCUCCGCUUGGUGUUGGGCGCCGCCGCCUGCUGCGCGGCGCGCCUGGAAUAGCAUUGGCUGCGGGUCCGGCCGCGAGCGCUGCGGGACGUGAGAAGCGUCGUGCGCUGGCGGGUUGGGCUAAGCGGGCCAGCAAACAACGAAGGGGUCCGCCCCUCUGCGUCUGACCUCGGAUCAGGUAGGGAUACCCGCUGAACUUAAGCAUAUCAAUAAGCGGAGGCU